GUGAUACACAUUAUAGUAGGCUAAAGUGAUACACAUUAGAGUAGGCUAAAGUUAAGCACAUUAUAGUAGGCUAAAGUGAUACACAUUAUAGUAGGCUAAAGUGAUACACAUUACAGUAGGCUAAAGUUAAGCACAUUAUAGUAGGCUAAAGUGAUACACAUUACAGUAGGCUUAAUAUCUCAUACAAUAUCUGUCAGAUCUCUCUGUGUGAACAUACACAUAGUCUCUAAUAUAACCCUGCUGUGGUUUUUCUGUGUGGUUGGAGGGUAAUAUUGAGUCAUGUGCCAACAUUGUGUGGUGGCUUUAGGAUCUAUGCUGUCGUUGUUUUGUCAGCUCUACUAUCCUCUCAUUGAAUGAUACUAGGAAGUCUG
ensembl:lncRNA